GACCAGAUCAUCAUCGGUGGUCCGGUGCGCGGGCUUCAAACCAGUAGCUAAUAAGAGUUAGAGUGGUUUGAUUCCACCCUCUGGGUG